UACGAGGGGGGCGAGCGUUGUUCGGAAUUAUUGGGCGUAAAGGGUGCGUAGGCGGUUUGGUAAGUCUUGUGUGAAAUCUACAGGCUCAACUUGUAGUCUGCACGAGAAACUGCCGGGCUUGAGUAUGGGAGAGGUGAGUGGAAUUCCUGGUGUAGCGGUGAAAUGCGUAGAUAUCAGGAGGAACACCUGUGGCGAAAGCGGCUCACUGGACAACUCCUGACACUGAGGCACGAAAGCUAGGGGAGCAAACAGG
rnacentral:rRNA from 1 species